GGGGGCCUACGGGAGGCAGCAGUGGGGAAUAUUGCACAAUGGGGGAAACCCUGAUGCAGCGACGCCGCGUGAGUGAAGAAGUAUUUCGGUACGUAAAGCUCUAUCAGCAGGGAAGAAAAUGACGGUACCUGACUAAGAAGCCCCGGCUAACUACGUGCCAGCAGCCGCGGUAAUACGUAGGGGGCAAGCGUUAUCCGGAUUUACUGGGUGUAAAGGGAGCGUAGACGGCAGCG
rnacentral:rRNA from 1 species